AAAGACAACUUAAAAGCCAUGGAUGUAUUAUUCUCCAUAAUUUUGUAUUUUCCUGUCCUAAGUUUACUGCACAUUUCUAGCGCUGGUGUACCAUUUUGGGAACUCCAAGAAUUUCUUCACACGAGCCGUAGGAUCUGGAUAUUCGCAGCAUCUGAACCACAAUUCUACGAGAGCUGUAAAGCCACAUGCAUAUUUUAUAGAACGAGAAAUUUAACUGACAACAGCGUCACUUUGCUCUACCAGGCCGUCUGGAAUAUGACAGUGCAUAAAAAGACGGUGGAGGCUCAACUACUGCAGUAUCCGCCCAGAAUGGAAAUGACAGACUG